GAACUUAAGCAUAUCAAUAAGGCGAGGAACAGAAACCAACAGGGAUUCCCUCAGUAGUGGCGAAUGAAGCGGGAAAAGCUCAAGUUUGAAAUCUGGCGGGUGACCUCCAGAGUUGUAAGCUGACGAGGCGUCGACCGACGCGGGCUCGGGUUCAAUUUCCUUGGAACAGGAGGUCUCAGAGGGUGAGAACCCCGUCUGUGACUCGAGAUCCGUCGUCCUUGUGUCGUGCCCUCCAAGAGUCGGGUUGUUUGGGAAUGCAGCUCAAAAUGGGUGGUAAAUUCCAUCUAAAGCUAAAUACUGGCGAGAGACCGAUAGGAAACAAGUAGAGUGAUCGAAAGGUGAAAAGUACUUUGAAAAGAGAGUGAAACAGUACGUGAAAUUGUUGAAAGGGAAGCGCUUGGCAUCAGCCCUUGGCGUCGGUCCAUCAACUCGGCUUCUGUCGGGUGCACUGGUCUGACGUCGGGCCAGCGUCGGCUUUGCCUGCCGGAGAAAGGUUCGGGGGAUGUGGCUCCUCUCGGGGAGCGUUAUAACCCUGGGCGUCAUGCGGUGCGGCGAGGCCGAGGUCUGCGGAUUUUAUCCUAGGACGCUGGCGUAAUGGUUCCAAGCGACCCGUCUUGAAACACGGACCAAGGAGUCUAACAUCUAUGCGAGUGUUUGGGUGUCAAGCCCAUACGCACAAUGAAAGUGAAAGCUGGCGGGAGCCUUUAGAGGGCGCACCGUCGACCGGUCCGGGGGUUUACCGAAGGAUCCGAGUGAGAGCAUAGCUGUUGGGACCCGAAA
rnacentral:rRNA from 1 species